UACGGAGGAGGCAAGCGUUAUCCGGAAUUAUUGGGCGUAAAGCGUCCGCAGGUGGCACUUCAAGUCUGUCGUCAAAGACUGGGGCUUAACCCUGGAAAGGCGGUGGAAACUGAAGCGCUAGAGUGCGGUAGGGGUAGAGGGAAUUCCCGGUGUAGAGGUGAAAUUCGUAGAUAUCGGGAGGAACACCAGUGGCGAAGGCGGCGACCUGGGCCAAUACUGACGCUGAGGUGCGAAAGCGUGGGGAGCAAACAGG
rnacentral:rRNA from 1 species